AAGAGUAUAUGAAGCAGAAUGUACGGGGUGAAAGAGAAAUGGAAGAACAACAAUAUCGAGGAAAGGUGAUAGUACCGUAUGUUCGCGGAAUAUCAGAACAGUUUAAGAGAGUAGCUUUGAUACAUUCUUUUCAAACGGCAUUCAAACCAGGAAAGAAAGUCAAAGAUCUAAAGACCAGAUCCCAACAACCACUUCGUGAGAAGCAGAAAGAUGUUGUGUGCAAGAUUCCGUGCAAAUGUGAGAAGGCGGCGUAUGUUGGAGAAACGUGGAGAUUACUGAAGACGAGAAAAAAGGAACAUGAAAGCAAAGUGAAAAUAACGAAUGAAGAUAUCGAAAACGGGAACCUGACAAUGGCGAAUGAACGAAUGGGAAAGGAAGACGGGGGAUUAGCGCGACACAAUGUGAAUUGUUUAAGUGGAGUUGAUUGGGAAAAUACAAGUGUUGUCAGUGGCAAAAGAAAGUGGUUUGAGACAAAGAAAGGUGAAAGAAGGAAUAGAGUCUCUCAGGGAAAUACAUCGUGGUAUGAAAGUAUUAAACAGUUUUGAGUCAUUGACAGUAUGGAGACCUAUUUUAGACAGAUAUUUCGAUAAUGAGAACAGACACGCGCGUGCGCGUGCAUUUUAGUUUGAAAUUAAGCUUGCGUAGAACGAACGUUAAAUUAGUUUGUACACGUCAACAUUUACAAAGUUGUAAUA